UAUUGGGCAAUGGGCGCAAGCCUGACCCAGCAACGCCGCGUGAAGGAAGAAGGCUCUCGGGUUGUAAACUUCUUUUGUCAGGGACGAAGCAAGUGACGGUACUUGACGAAUAAGCCACGGCUAACUACGUGCCAGCAGCCGCGGUAAUACGUAGGUGGCAAGCGUUAUCCGGAUUUACUGGGUGUAAAGGGCGUGUAGGCGGGGAAGCAAGUCAGAUGUGAAAGCCACGGGCUCAACCUGUGGCCUGCAUUUGAAACUGUUUUUCUUGAGUGCUGGAGAGGCAAUCGGAAUUCCGUGUGUAGCGGUGAAAUGCGUAGAUAUACGGAGGAACACCAGUGGCGAAGGCGGCUUACUGGACUGUAAAUGACGCUGAGGCUCGAAAGCGUGGGGAGCAAACAGG
rnacentral:rRNA from 1 species